GCUUGCUUCUUGGGGUUGUAGGACACUCUAUACGGAGUUACAAAAGAAAGUUAUAAAUGAAGCGGUCUGGAAAGGCCCGCCAAAGACGGUAACAGCCCGGUAGUUGAAAUGGCUUUCCCUCCAGAGUGGAUCCUGAGUACGGCGGAACACGUGAAAUUCCGUCGGAAUCCGGGAGGACCAUCUCCCAAGGCUAAAUACUCCCUAGUGACCGAUAGUGAACCAGUACCGUGAGGGAAAGGUGAAAAGCACCCCGGAAGGGGAGUGAAACAGUUCCUGAAACCGUGUGCCUACAAGUAGUUAGAGCCCGUUAAUGGGUGAUAGCGUGCCUUUUGUAGAAUGAACCGGCGAGUUACGAUUUGUUGCAAGGUUAAGCGGAAAAAGCGGAGCCGUAGCGAAAGCGAGUCUGAAUAGGGCGCAUAAGUAACAGGUCGUAGACCCGAAACCAGGUGAUCUACCCAUGUCCAGGAUGAAGGUAAGGUAAUACUUACUGGAGGUCCGAACCCACGCACGUUGAAAAGUGCGGGGAUGAGGUGUGGGUAGCGGAGAAAUUCCAAUCGAACUUGGAGAUAGCUGGUUCUCUCCGAAAUAGCUUUAGGGCUAGCCUCGAGGUAAAGAGUCAUGGAGGUAGAGCACUGUUUGGACUAGGGGCCCUUCUCGGGUUACCGAAUUCAGAUAAACUCCGAAUGCCAUGUACUUAUACUCGGGAGUCAGACUGCGAGUGAUAAGAUCCGUAGUCGAAAGGGAAACAGCCCAGACCACCAGUUAAGGUCCCCAAAUAUAUGUUAAGUGGAAAAGGAUGUGGGGUUGCUUAGACAACCAGGAUGUUGGCUUAGAAGCAGCCACCAUUGAAAGAGUGCGUAAUAGCUCACUGGUCGAGUGACCCCGCGCCGAAAAUGUACCGGGGCUAAACAUAUUACCGAAACUGUGGAUGAACCUCUUUAGAGGUUCGUGGUAGGAGAGCGUUCUAAGGGCGGUGAAGUCAGACCGGAAGGACUGGUGGAGCGCUUAGAAGUGAGAAUGCCGGUAUGAGUAGCGAAAGAAGGGUGAGAAUCCCUUCCACCGAAUAUCUAAGGUUUCCUGAGGAAGGCUCGUCCGCUCAGGGUUAGUCGGGACCUAAGCCGAGGCCGAUAGGCGUAGGCGAUGGACAACAGGUAGAGAUUCCUG
rnacentral:rRNA from 1 species